UCUCUCGUAGCUCAUGAUAAAUUAGUGUACUUGAUUUUAUAAGAAGCAAAAAAAAAAAAAACAUAUAUUGUAAAUAUAAAUAUACUGGGAUGAAGUAGUCAGCUUUUGAAUAGGCCAAUAUUCUUCUCGGGAUUGGUGAAAAAGACUUCCAAUUCUCCUAUAAAUACUGCUCCUCUCCUCCCCUAAACCUACAAUUCCCCCUCCCCCACUUCUCUCUCUCUCUCUCUCUCUCUCUCACACACACACACACACACACACGUUUCUUUUCUUUGUCUCGCUCUCUAUACACAUAUACAUGUAUAUUUGUGUAUACGUAUAUAUGGGACACAGUAGAAACCCUAUUUAGGGUUGCAGAUUAGGGUUGCAGCAGAUGAGCGCUUUACAGAAAUGGCCAUCUUCUUAUUCUUCCACAGCUUUCUUGAACUGCAGAUCACUGUAUGCCUGCUACUGCAGUUGAUCAUUCUUUGUAGUUCAAUAAAGUUGUGGGAAGAUACGAUGAUGGUCAAAAUUAACCACAAUUCUCUCUCUCUCUCUCUCUCUCUCUGGCAUUUGUAUUUUGGUCUACUAUAUAUUCCUUGCUAGCAGAGCAGAUCUGAAAACGAGUUUGGAUUUUGGAGUUAAGCAUGCAAUGGGUUUCUUCCAUUCCAUUCUUGUCUAAAAUGGAGAGAGAGAGAGAGAGAGAGAGAGAGAGAGAGAGAGAGAUCUGCUUUGGCUAUUAAGAUAUGGUUAGAAAAUUCAUCUACUCCUUGUCCAUUUAUGGUGUAUUAAUCAGAGGCAGCACUUUGAUCGAUCAAAUAAUGCAAUCUUGUUGUUGAUUUAUGUCUUUAAUUAAAGCUAAAUUAUUAUGUGUUGUCA